rnacentral:lncRNA from 1 species
UCUAUCCUAAAAUUUGUAUGAAAUCUCAAUGGACUUCAAAUAGAAAAAGGAGCCUUGAAAAAGAAAAAAGUCAAAGGACUCACACUUCCUUUGUUAAAAAAUUACCACAAAGCUACAGUAAUCAAAAGAGUGUGGUACUGGCAUAGAGACAGAUGUCUUAACCAAUAGAAGAGACUAGAGACUAUGGAAAAAUAAAACAUUGUAUAUAUGUUUAAUAAUUUCCAACAAGUGUGUCAAGACCAUUCAAUGACGGAAAAGACAAUCUUUUUAAAAAAUAUUACUAGGAUAACUAGAUAUCUAUAUGCAAUAGAAUGAAGCUGGACCUUUACCUUGCAUCAUAUACAAAAAUUAACUCAAAAUAAAUCAAAGUCCUACAUGCUAAAGCUACGACUAUAAAACUCUUAGAAGAAAACAUAAGGAAAAAGCUUCAUGACUUGAGAUUUGACAACUUUUUUUUUCAGAAGAAAAGGACAGCAAAAGCAAAGACAACAAAAGAAAAACAUAAACAAGUUGAAAUUUAUUUUAAAAAUCAAUCUUAACAACCAUCCAUACACAAAAUUACCUUCAGAAGAGCUAAGGAAACCAGGUGGCACUGUGUGGAGAGAGAUACCAUUCCUUUGGAAGCAAAUAGAAAAGUGAGCACAGGACUUUGCCUUGGACACAAACAUCAGGUCCAUCACAGUAAAACCUAGAAAUGAGUAGACUUCUAGAACCCAGGCUCCAGGCUAGUACCCAUAGACUGAGCCUCUAGGACUGCCCUGGCACCAGGCUUCAAGGCUGCACCACUGUCAACUGACUUCAGAAUCCCUAUGCUCUAGACAGCACUCAGUGGCAAAUGGGACUCAGUGGACCCUGGGCUUCUUGUGUGCCCCAGUGCCAAGUUGGUCAGAGCAGGUCCUGGGCUUUAGAUCUGUGCCACAUGGUCUGCCUAGAAUCUCUGGAAGGGCUAAGUGUUGAAGGGUUUUCUGAGACAAAACCAAUCUGUGAAGAUGAGAGUAAAUACAUACUCCUUCAAAUGUGGAGACAUUGAUUCAUGACCACAAGGAUCAAGAACAAUCAGGGAAACAUAAAAUCACCAAAGGAACAAAAUAAAGUACCAAUGACUGACUGUAAAGAAAUUCAGAUAUAUGGUAUAUCUGACAAAAAAUUUAAAAAACGUACUUUAAGGGAGCUCAGAGAACUUCAAGAAGAAAAAAGAUUCAAUGAAAUGAGGAAAACAACAAGUAACUAGAAUAAGAAAUUUAACGGAGAGAUUGAAAAAAAUAAAAAUAGAUAAAAUAGAAAUCCUGGAGCUGAAAGAUGCAAUGAAUAAAAAGAAAAAUAAAAUAGAAAACAUCAAGAGCAAAAUUGGUUAAGCAGAAGAGUCUGUGAACUCACAGAUAAGUUAUUUGAAAAUAUACAGCCAUAGAAGAAAGAAAAAAGAGUGAAAAGUAAUGAAGAAAUUACAAGAUUUAUGGGAAAACAUCAAAAGAGAAUUAUUUUUAGUCAUAGGAGUUUGAAACAGAAGAGAAAUAUAACAGAGUAGAAAUCUUAUUUGAAGAAACAGAAGCAGGAAACUUUCCAAACCUGGAGGAAGAUGAAAGUAUCCAUGCAGAUAAAAGUUAAAGGUCUCCAAUCAGAUUUAAUCUGAAUAAGACAAUUUCAAGACAUAGUAUAUAAAAGUGUCAAAAAUCAAAGACAAAUAGGGGACUCUGAAAGCAGCAAUAGAAAAGAAGCAAAUAGCAAAAAGAAUUUCCAAUAUAGCUAGUAGCAAGAUUCUCAGCAAAAACCUUACAGUCCAGGAAAGCAUAGUGUGAUGUACUCAAAGUUUUGAAGAGGAAAACAACUGACAACCAAAAGCCCAAAAGUACUAUUUAGAACAAAACCGUCCUUCAGAAAUGAAUGAGAAAUAAUGACUUUCCCAGACAAAGAAAAGCUGAGGACUUUGUCACCACCAGACCUGUCUUACAAGAAAUGCUAAGGAGAGUUCUUCAAGAUGAAAGAAAAGGAUACUAAUGAGUAACAUUAAAUCAUCUGCUAGUAUAAAAUUACUGAUAAAAGUAAGCACAUAGAUUCAGAAUAAUAUAAUACUAUAAUGGUGGUUUGUAAAACACAUGUCUUUAGUAUAAAAGGGCAUACAAUAACAUUGUUUUCUCUUUGCAUUAUUCACAUUUAUGCUGCUAGAUGAGUUUCAGAACCUUAUUACUUUAACUAUCUCCAUGGUCCUACUUCUGUACAAUUGAAGCUCAAAUUUGAUUGUCAUAUUUAUCAGUCUUGCCUUCCAGUCUACUCAGACUACCUACCAUAUACACUGUAAUAAUCACUGACCAUAACACUACUUUUAUUAUUGUCUAUGACAAGAGAAAGCACUGAUUGAUAUGCCUCCUGAUAUGGUUUGGCUGUGUCCCCAACCAAAUCUCACCUGGAAUUGUAAAAAUCCCCACUUGUCAAGGGCAGGGCCAGCUGGAGAUAAUUGAAUCAUGAGGAGUGGGGGCAGUUUCCCUCAUACUGUUCUCCUGGUAGUGGGUAAGUCUCAUGUGAUCUAAUGGUUUUAUAAAUGGGAGUUCCCCUGCACAAGUUCUCUUGCCUGCUGGCAUGUAAGAUAUGACAUUGCUCCUCUUUUUGCCUUCUGCCAUGAUUAUAAGGCCUCACCAGCCAUGUGGAACUGUG